rnacentral:lncRNA from 1 species
CAUGGCUGUCGUCGGAAGCGGAAGAACUUUUGGAGGUUGGUGGUGGAGGUGGUGACUGGGGAUAAGGUGGGCUCGGGCCGCGCGGGCUUUAUUGGGACUGAUUCACGAGGGCCAAAAUGUUCCGCGGCCGUUGCGUCGAGCUCGCGAGGUUCAGUGAGAACGAGAACGAGAGAGGGAGAGUUUUGCGCAGUGUCAAGUGUCCUGCUUUUCUUGAUCUUCUCUGAACUUAUACAAAAACAAAACGAUCGUGGCUUCAGCCACGCCCCCACGGACGCGAUCGUGCCAUCCCACGAUACCAGGGCGCGCUGAGCUACUGGCCUCACGAAACGUGGGCUGGAUCCGGCUAGUCCGGCUAAGCUAACUAAAACUGAAACUGACUGCUAACCUAACAGCUAGAUUAUUCAACAAUCUCCUCCUAAUCUAGAUGUUCCUGAUGUCGACGAUCCCGAUCCUCUCACGCAUAGCCUGGAACUUGACUCGCCCGAGCGAUUUGGUCAGAAUGUCAGCGAGCUGAUCGUCGGUGUUCACGUACUCCACGACGAUCUUGCCGUUCUCGACGCUCUCCCUGAUGAAAUGGUAGCGCGUCUCGAUGUGCUUGCUUCGCCCGUGGAACACUGGGUUUUUGCAGAGUUGGAUUGCAGACAGGUUGUCCACAAGAAGAGUGGUUGGUGCAGCUUCCUUCCCGAGCAGAUCGGCGAGUAACCGGCUUAGCCAAACACCCUGGCAGGCUGCGGUGGCGCCGGAGAUGUACUCGGCCUCGCACGAGGACAAGGCAACAACCUUCUGCUUCUGCGAUUGCCAACUCACCGGGCUGGAGCCAAGGAAGAAGAUGAAGCCAGAAGUGCUUUUCCGAUCAUCGACGUCCCCGGCGUGGUCGGCGUCGCUGUACCCAAUGAGAGUGCAUCCUCCUUUGUUAGUGAAGCGGCAGCCGAAGUGGAUCGUCCCGGCGAUGUAACGGAGAAUGUGUUUGACAGCACUCAUGUGCUCCGUCGUCGGCGACUCGAGGAAGCGACUGACAUAGCCCACAGCGAACGAGAUGUCCGGACGUGUGUGAACUAGGUACCUCAGACUACCCACCAAGCUGCGGUAUAGGUGGGCGUCCGUCGGUGGCGUCGAGCUCUCCCUGCUCAGGCGUAGACGAGGCUCCAUGGGGACAGGGACUGUCUUGCAGUCCGACAUCCCGGCGCGCUCCAGCAGCUUGGUGGCGUAUGCCGCCUGGCACACGGUGAUCACGCCGGGGCGCUGGCGUACCUCCAGCCCGAGGUAGUAGGUGAGGAGGCCGAGAUCGCUCAUCUGGAAGCGACGAGUCAUCUCCUCCUUGAACAUGUCGAUGGCGGUGGUGCUGGCCCCGGUGAUGAUGAGGUCGUCGACGUACACUCCGAGCAGCAGCCGAUCAUCGCGGGUGCCGCGGUGAUACACCGCAUGCUCUGACAGAGUGCGUGUGAACCCAAGUUCAGACAGUGUGGUGUCCAGCUUGGUGUUCCACGCGCGCGGAGCCUGACGCAGUCCGUAGAGAGCUUUGCGAAGCCGCAACACCUUGUGCUCGCCGCCGGUGUGGGAGAAACCUGGGGGCUGCGCAACGUAGACUUCCUCCUCCAGAUCGCCAUUUAGGAACGCCGUCUUGACGUCGAGGUGGUGGACCUCCCAGGACUCGUGCGCCGCGAUCGACAGCAGAACCCUGACGGAGUCCAACCGUGCGACCGGAGCAAAAACCUCAUCGAAGUCGAUGCCGGCGCGCUGGACGAAGCCCUUCGCCACGAGCCUGGCCUUGUGCUUGACGACGUUGCCGUUGGAGUCUUUCUUCACUUUGAACACCCAUUUGAGGCCAAUGGGGCGUUUACCUGCAGGCAGAUCAGUGAGGUACCAGGUGUUGUUCUCCUCGAUCGCCCGCAUCUCGUCGAGCAUGGCGAUCCUCCACCUCUCAUGCGGCUCCGCUUCGGUGAACGUGGUAGGCUCCUCGCACGCCCUGAGAUGCAGCUCGCCGUCCUCCAUCGCCAGAACAUAGUCCUGUAGGCGAGAGUUCGGCUGAACGAUGCCGUCCCGUGCGCGUGUCGUCAUCUGAUGGAGCGGUGGCGCCUGCUGGACAGGGGCGGCGACACAUCGCUUCGCCGCUUCAGCGGCGUUCUCUGGCGAUGAAGCGGCCGUGUCCGGCUCCUCGACGGCAGGCGAGUCGGCAGGCGGUGCGCUGUCCGUGUCGGGCGACACGCUGCCAGCACGUACUGGCGAUGAGCUGGCUCCUCCAGAGCUCGUACUUCCAGCGUCAGCGGCGUGGCGAGCAGCGCCCGUGUCACUCUGACACGGCAUGGUGAAGACGUGCUCGACGGUGAAGCUGCCGUCGCCGCCGUUCCCUUCCCAGUUCCAGCUUGUCGUUUUGUCGAAGACGACGUCCCUCGAGAUGAUGACGCACUUGGCCACCGGGUCGAAGAGCCUGUACGCCUUUGAGCCCGCCUCAUAGCCGAGGAAGACAACUUUUGUGCUGCGGUCGUCGAGUUUGGCCGCGUGUGGGCGAGUGACCUUGGCGUAGGCAACGCAGCCGAAAGUUCUGAAGAAAUGCACCGCCGGUUUCACGCCGUGCCACGCCUCAUACGGCGUGCGUCCAACGAGAGCCUGCGUGGGCGAGCAGUUGAGGAGGAGCACAGCCGUGGUGACUGCCUCUCCCCAAAACUCGUUCGGCACGCGCCUCGCCUUGAGCAAGCACCGUGCCAUGGCCACGAUGGUCUGGUUCCUCCUCUCGACUACCCCGUUCUGCUGGGGCGAGUACGGGGCAGUGAGGUGUCGCUGUGUCCCUUCUCCUGCACAAUAAGCAGCGAAUUCCACCGAAGUGAACUCGCCCCCCUGUCCGUGCGCAGCGUGCGGAGCUUGCGGCCGGUCUCCGUCUCGACAGUGGCCUGGAAGUUCUUGAUCGCGGCUGCAGCUUCGUCCUUCGAGCGCAGCAACACAAGCCACAUGUAACGACUCAUGUCGUCGACGAGGAGAAGGAAGUGUCGCUUCCCGCCGUGCGUGGCCGGCGAGAUUGGGCCGCACAGGUCACCGUGCACCAGGUCGAGGCGGUCACCGGCGCGGUAGCUCGCUGCUCGUGGGAACGAUGCGCGACGCUGUUUGCCGAGCAGACAGCCGUCACACACCUGAUCCACGUGCUGGAUUGAAGGAAGCCCGCGCACCAUGUCUGACGACGCCAGCUUGCGGAGCGCGUCGAAAUUGAGGUGACCGUACCUCUCGUGCCAUGUCCAGGCCACCUGAUCGACGCGAGCGGUCAUGCAGACCGGCUUGGCGAGCAUGGCUGGGAGCUUGUACAGGCGGUUGCCGCUGCGGGCAACGCGCGCGAUCAGCUUGCCGCUUCUGUCCCGGACCCGAAGCAGACCGCCGUGGAUCGACACCUCGCACCCCACCUCAUCGAGUUGUCCUACAGAAAUGAUGUUGUUCUGUAGCUUGGGGAUGAAGUAGACCUAGGUAAGUGCUCGAUGACGUCCGUCUUUCGCGACGAAGAGGACGGUGCCGCGCCCGCAUAUCUGAACUGCGGAGCCAUCGCCAAAGCAAACGCGCCCCGUGAUGCCAGUGUUCAGCUCGGAGAAGGCGUCGCGGUCGCCGGUCAUGUGGUUCGAUGCUGCCGUGUCGAUGUACCACAGGUUGUCGCGCCGCGCCACUGCAUCGCCAAUGGUGACGUUGGCGUUCUGCUCGUCGAGGAAGACCUGUCCGCCUUCCCUGUCGUGGUCGGGGUCGGAGCUGAGGGAGACGAUGUGCGCCAUCAGGAGGCUCCCCUCUCCUUCUUCCUCGUCCACCCGCGCAAUGUUGGCCUCGUCGCGCUGCUUCUUGCGGCAGUCACGCGCCCAGUGCCCGCUCUUAUUGCAGUAGCGGCACUUGUCAUUGCGGGUGGCCACGCGGCCGCCGUUGUGGGGCGGCGCGCCGGCCUAGUUCUUGCCCUUCUGCUGUCCGCGCCCACCGCGGUUCUGGUUCUUGCCCUUCUGCUGCCCAUUGCUGGACUGGCCCUUGCCGCGCCGCUUGCACCGCGCUUCCCACUCCUCCUCAGUGAGGAGCAGGCGAGUUCCUCCCGCGCUAUCUUCUUCCUCCAGGCGCUCCUCGACCGAGCGAAAGCGCCCGGUCACCUCCUCAAGAGACAGCGUGCUGACGUCGAGGAGGGUCUCGAUGGCAAUGGCGACCUGGGAGUAUUUCUUUGGAAUGACGCGGAGGAACUUACGGACAACCUUCUCGUCGUCAACGGUGUCGCCGAGCGUGCACAGGUUGUUGACGAGGGCGGUGGCGCGCAUGGUGAACGCCUCAAUGGUCUCGCCCUCCUUGAAGGCGAGGUUUUCGAAGUCCUUUCGGAGCUUCUGAGCGGUGGCCUCGCGUACCCGGGCCGUGCCCACCCGCAUGGCGCGGAUGGCCUCCCAGGCCUCCUUUGCCGAUCGCUUGACGACGAUGGACCCGACCAUCUCAGGCGGCAGGCCACGGAGGAUGGCGGCCAUGGCGUACUUGUCGUCGCGGAAGGUGGCCGUCUCCUUCCCUUCGACCGCGUCCCAGAGCGCCGCGGCCUCCAUCUGGACCUGCAUGACGAGCGCCCACUCGAUGUAUUUCGUCGCCGUGAGCAUGGGCGGGGGGCCCGUGCCGCCGGGCUCGCGCACCACGCGCUCCUGGACGAUGAUCUCCCGGCCGUUGCGUCGCGUCGAGCUCCUCCCACGCCUCAUGCGCGGAGGAGUGUGCGACCGAUCGCCGGUGCCAGCGCCGCGAGCAGGCGAGUCGGUGGCCAUGGUCCCCGGAUCAAACGGGCUCUGAUGCCAAUUGUUCCGCGGCCGUUGCGUCGAGCUCGCGAGGUUCAGUGAGAACGAGAACGAGAGAGGGAGAGUUUUGCGCAGUGUCAAGUGUCCUGCUUUUCUUGAUCUUCUCUGAACUUAUACAAAAACAAAACGAUCGUGGCUUCAGCCACGCCCCCACGGACGCGAUCGUGCCAUCCCACGAUACCAGGGCGCGC